rnacentral:ncRNA from 1 species
UGAUGAGAGAUACACCCGCUCACGGGAGACCGUGGACGGUGCCGGGCCGGGGCCUCCCCAGCUUCGUCCUGGUCGUGCCUCGCGCACACAUCCGGAGCCAUUGGUUCCGGUGAUCUCCUCACCGAUCGGA